rnacentral:rRNA from 1 species
CCCUUAGAUGUCCUGGGCCGCACGCGCGCUACACUGAGUGUCUGAGAUACGAGUCUGCCUGGUCCGGCAAGGUCUCGGUAAUCGCUAAAAGACACAUCAUGCUUGGGAUAGAUUAUUGCAAAUAUUAAUCUUGAACGAGGAAUUCCUAGUAAGCGCAAGUCAACAGCUUGCGUUGAUUACGUCCCUGCCCUUUGUACACACCGCCCGUCGCUACUACUGAUUGGAUGUUUAAGCGAGGUUCUCGAACUGCUAGCGACUUAGCUUCGGUGAGGUCGCAGUGUGGGAAGUGAACCUAGCUUUGGUGUCUAGAGGAAGUAAAAGUCGUAACA